ensembl:snoRNA
CUUGCCUCUCAAAAGGCGUUGCAGCCUGACUGACUCUGUGUCUGGUUUGUGUCGUGUAGAGGCAGAGAGCAACAGGCUGUAACUACGAUCAGCGCCCUGACCCGUGGCCGCUUGGAUUGAUUGAAGCCUUUACA